CUGUGUGUCUGUGAUCUGUUGAUGAGGGUGGCGAAGGACUACUCAAUCAACUGGGGUGUACAAAAUGGAGUUUGAGAAGGUCUCACAUCUAAGUCGUUUUGAAGCAAAGUCCAAGCAUUGUAUCAUUUCCUCUGCAAAUAUUUUAAUAAGUACCCAAAAGGCCCUUUGUGAUGCAUAUGGAGAUUGGAUGCCCAGAUCCUCUUCAACUAAGGAUUCCCUGCUUUGUCGCUUGGCCACAACUGCUGUUAAACCAAGGUCCUCUACUAUGUUUAAGACCAUGUAGUCUACCAACAGUAUAUCUCAUAAAGAAUAUAUUCAAUGUGACAUUGGGAUGCAGUUUACUUCAUGUGUACUUCAAUUGUUGCGACCAUCCUUCUCCUCCUCCAAAUUAUCAAGUGUAUCUGGGUAGAAAACUGCUCCUUCCCAGAAACAAUGCAUUUCCUGGAAAGUUGGUCUUUUCAUCCCCAAAUUUAGAUUCACUUAACAGGGAAGUGCCAGACCCUGAAGUCUCUUUGGUUUAUGGUGUGGAUCCAGCCCACAGCCGUGUCACAUGCCCUCCCCAUGGCAAGCUUGCAGUGUAG
rnacentral:lncRNA from 13 species